rnacentral:rRNA from 1 species
AGAGUUUGAUCAUGGCUCAGAACGUACGCUGGCGGCACGCCUAAUACAUGCAAGUCGAACGAAGUAGCAAUACUUAGUGGCAGACGGGUGAGUAACAUGUAGGUAUCUUCCCAUUGGUGAGGAAUAACACGAGGAAACUUGUGCUAAUACCUCAUAAGUCUUUACGGAGAAAGCUUUAUGCGCCGAUGGAUGAGCCUGCACUUGAUUAGUUUGUUGGUAGGGUAAUGGCCUACCAAGACAAUGAUCAAUAGCUGAUUUGAGAGGAUGAUCAGCCACAUUGGGACUGAGACACGGCCCAAACUCCUACGGGAGGCAGCAGUAGGGAAUCUUGCACAAUGGGGGAAACCCUGAUGCAGCGAUGCCGCGUGAGUGAAGAAGGCCUUUGGGUUGUAAAGCUCUUUCGUCGGGGAAGAAAAUGACUGUACCCGAAUAAGAAGGUCCGGCUAACUUCGUGCCAGCAGCCGCGGUAAUACGAAGGGACCUAGCGUAGUUCGGAAUUACUGGGCUUAAAGAGUUCGUAGGUGGUUAAAAAAGUUGGUGGUGAAAUCCCAGAGCUUAACUCUGGAACUGCCAUCAAAACUUUUUAGCUAGAGUAUGAUAGAGGAAAGCAGAAUUUCUAGUGUAGAGGUGAAAUUCGUAGAUAUUAGAAAGAAUACCAAUUGCGAAGGCAGCUUUCUGGAUCAUUACUGACACUGAGGAACGAAAGCAUGGGUAGCGAAGAGGAUUAGAUACCCUCGUAGUCCAUGCCGUAAACGAUGUGUGUUAGACGUUGGAAAUUUAUUUUCUGUGUCGCAGCGAAAGCAAUAAACACACCGCCUGGGGAGUACGACCGCAAGGUUAAAACUCAAAUGAAUUGACGGGGACCCGCACAAGUAGUGGAGCAUGUGGUUUAAUUCGAAGAUACGCGCAGAACCUUACCAACACUUGACAUGUUCGUCGCGACUUUAAGAGAUUAAAGUUUUCGGUUCGGCCGGACGAAACACAGGUGCUGCAUGGCUGUCGUCAGCUCGUGUCGUGAGAUGUUGGGUUAAGUCCCGCAACGAGCGCAACCCUCACUUUUAGUUGCCAUCAUUUAGUUGGGCACUCUGAAAGAACUGCCAGUGAUAAGCUGGAGGAAGGUGGGGAUGACGUCAAGUCCUCAUGGCCCUUACGUGUUGGGCUACACACGUGCUACAAUGGCAUUUACAAUAGGAAGCAAAACGGCGACGUUAAGCAAAUCCUAAAAAAAUGCCUCAGUUCGGAUUGUACUCUGCAACUCGAGUACAUGAAGCUGGAAUUACUAGUAAUCGCGGAUCAGCGCGCCGCGGUGAAUACGUUCCCGGGUCUUGUACACACCGCCCGUCACACCAUGGGAGUUGGUUCUACCUUAAGGCAAAGCUUAAUACCUUUGACCACGGUAUAGUCAGCGACUGGGGUGAAGUCGUAACAAGGUAGCCGUAGGGGAACCUGCGGCUG